UACGGAGGGUGCAAGCAUUGAUCGGAAUUACUGGGCGUAAAGGGCGCGUAGGCGGUUAAGUAAGUCAGAUGUGAAAUUCCGGGGCUCAACCCCGGAGCUGCAUUUGAAACUGCAUAGCUAGAGUACAGUUAGGGUAAACGGAAUUCCACGUGUAGCGGUGAAAUGCGUAGAUAUGUGGAAGAACACCGGUGGUGAAGACGGUUUACUGGGCUGAAACUGACGCUGAGGCGCGAAAGCAUGGGGAGCAAACAGG
rnacentral:rRNA from 1 species